rnacentral:rRNA from 1 species
CAAGGGGUCCGGAGCAGGACAGAUGGGAGCUUGCUCCCUGAUGUUAGCGGCGGACGGGUGAGAAACACGUGGGUAACCUGCCUGUAAGACUGGGAUAACUCCGGGAAACCGGGGCUAAUACCGGAUGGUUGUUUGAACCGCAUGGUUCAAACAUAAAAGGUGGCUUCGGCUACCACUUACAGAUGGACCCGCGGCGCAUUAGCUAGUUGGUGAGGUAACGGCUCACCAAGGCAACGAUGCGUAGCCGACCUGAGAGGGUGAUCGGCCACACUGGGACUGAGACACGGCCCAGACUCCUACGGGAGGCAGCAGUAGGGAAUCUUCCGCAAUGGACGAAAGUCUGACGGAGCAACGCCGCGUGAGUGAUGAAGGUUUUCGGAUCGUAAAGCUCUGUUGUUAGGGAAGAACAAGUACCGUUCGAAUAGGGCGGUACCUUGACGGUACCUAACCAGAAAGCCACGGCUAACUACGUGCCAGCAGCCGCGGUAAUACGUAGGUGGCAAGCGUUGUCCGGAAUUAUUGGGCGUAAAGGGCUCGCAGGCGGUUUCUUAAGUCUGAUGUGAAAGCCCCCGGCUCAACCGGGGAGGGUCAUUGGAAACUGGGGAACUUGAGUGCAGAAGAGGAGAGUGGAAUUCCACGUGUAGCGGUGAAAUGCGUAGAGAUGUGGAGGAACACCAGUGGCGAAGGCGACUCUCUGGUCUGUAACUGACGCUGAGGAGCGAAAGCGUGGGGAGCGAACAGGAUUAGAUACCCUGGUAGUCCACGCCGUAAACGAUGAGUGCUAAGUGUUAGGGGGUUUCCGCCCCUUAGUGCUGCAGCUAACGCAUUAAGCACUCCGCCUGGGGAGUACGGUCGCAAGACUGAAACUCAAAGGAAAUUGACGGGGGCCCGCACAAGCGGUGGAGCAUGUGGUUUAAUUCAAACAACGCGAAGAACCUUUACCAGGUCUGACAUCCUCUGACAAUCCUAAAAAUAGUGUUCCGCUUCGGCCGCCGAGUGA